rnacentral:rRNA from 1 species
GAUGGGGAACGAAAGGUACACUGGGUCUCUUGGCAGAAAAUGUGCACCUCCAAGCGAGACGGAGGAAUGGGCUUUCGUGAUCCGGUUGCAUUCAACCAAGCCCUGCUGGCAAAACAAGCAUGGCGUGUGCUGCAAUGUCCGGGGUCUUUGGUAGCGAGAGUGCUGAAAGCUCGCUAUUUCAAGGACGAGACCAUACUGAGUGCGACGUGCCCGUCGACAGCCUCGUAUACUUAUCGAAGUAUUUUGCACGGGAGGGACCUUCUUCGAGAAGGGCUGGUUUGGCGAAUCGAGGAUGGCUCAAAGGUUAAUAUACACCACAGUAAUUGGAUCCUGAGGAGUGGCUCAAUGAAACUGCUUGGUCAGAUAUAUAUGCCUAGAGUAACACGAGUCGCUGACCUUCUUUAG